rnacentral:lncRNA from 1 species
UCCAUUAUGAUCAUAAAUUUCCUCCUUUUUUUCACUUCAAUUUGUUUCAAUUAUAGUUACUUAGUUACAAACAUAUCUCAUGUACUUCAUUAUUUAAUACCUCAACUCACUCACAUAGUUAUAUUCAUUAAAAGAAAAUGCAGAGGAGUAAGUAUAUGAUUUUACAUUUUUUUAGUACAGGCAAAAACACAUCAUAGGGAUAGGGCACAACAUCUCAAAGUAGUCGUGGUUGAAAUUUCAGAGACAUAUAUUAAUUAAAUUAUAUCUUAUUAUUCUUUGUCUCAAUCUAUAUACUUUUUAAAAUUCUAUAGCUUUACACAUCUUCCACGUGUCUUUUCAAUAAUAAAAAGAGAAUUAUUCUAUUUAAAAUAAUUACUUACAAAAAUUAUGAUAGAUAAUAUGAGACGGGAAAAAAAUAAAUAAAAAAUUAAUCUGUGACCGACAUGAUAAAAAAUAAUAUUAGAAAAGUUUGUAGCUGACCAAAUAAUUUGUGACUAGACUCAAAUUUCUGUUGCCACGUUAUUACGUGAAUGGGGUCAAUUUCGAAAAGAAAAACAGUGGCCAUUAGUGUUAAUACAGCUGGUUAUUUGCUAAAUGAUUAAAUAAAAUAGAAUACGUCUGCAAAUUAUCAAUCAGAUCACUGUCAUUAGUGGUCAAAUAGUUGUUUAUUUGCAUUAUUCGACGAAAAAAACAGUUUGUGGUUGACAAUUAAUUCAAGGCCAUUUUCCUGGUAAUUAAUGAACAUAACAAAAAAGAGUGAUCGUCUAUCUAUUAUAUAAUAGUUGAUAUAUAUCCAUUUUCACAACUUUUUUAUUUCAUAAUAAUAAGUACAAAGAACUCAUCCAAAUUAUAUAUUUGGUGUGACCAAAAAACAUAAACAAGUACUCUUGUAGAUUUAUCUGUCCUCUUAAAAACUGCUUUUUUUGUUUUGUUUUCAGAAAGAAAUUAUAUGGCAAAUAUUUCUACUUGCUCCCUUCUCGUUGCUGCUGUUUUUCUAGGUAAUAUUUAACUACACACACGACAUGUUUUUUCAUUAUAUUGUAUUUAUUGAUUUAAUUUGUACUUGGUAGCAUAUAUAAUUUCUCCUAUGUCUGUUUUUAUAAUCCAUCUUUAAUUGGACUAGACGAUUAAGUUAUAAGAAAGGAGAAGGAUCUUGUUCGAUUGAUCCUUUUUAUUCAUGUUUAGUCCUUUUGUGUGCAUCUUCAGAACCAAUUUUUUGGAAAUUAAAGCUAGAUCAAAAUCUAAGACUCGAAUAUAGCUUUCUAUUGUUGUCUUGAAUAUUCCAUAUUUAAUCUUAUGUCCGUUCUUUUCUCUUUUUUUUUAAUUUUGUCUACGUGGUAUUCAGGGCCCACAUUGGAGCUCUAACUAAAUUUGUAUGGCUAGGCCCUACUCGGAUAUGAUACAUCUUCAGGCCUCAAAUCCGAAAGCUUUGAUAUAUAAGAGUAAAACAGUCUCACCGUAUCAAAACUCAUGUUGUUGUUACAUAUCUAUCAACAUUAAUAUAGAAAAAGGAAUUGAUCGUGAUUUUAAACUUGUUCUUUACAUGUUGAGCUAAUUGUUUAAUUAAUGGAGGUAGACGAGAAGUGAUUAGGAAAAUGAUGGUAAAAAAAACAUGUGUACCAUUGUAUGUGGGUUAGAGAGAAAAAUCAAAUCAAUUCAUUAGAAGUGGAUGAUCUAUGAUUUUAAAUGAAGUGUUUAAUCUGUACGCAUGCAUGCAGUUGGAAUAUUGAUGAUCCCAUCGGAAAUAUUGGGAGAAACAUGCUAUCAAAUACACCCAGAGAUAUUGUGUGAUGAAGGCAAAGUUGAAGGGGAAUGUUUACCUUUCUGCAAUGACAAAUUUGGAUCCUCUGCUGGUGGACAAUGCAUUGAGCAAAUUGGCUUUGAUGGUCCUUUUUGUGCAUGUGAUUAUCCUUGCUAAUUAAUUAUAAUAUGUAGUUUUUGUUUAGUCUUUGUAUAUGUAAUGUAAAAUCUACUCUUGUUGGCUGUUUUAUAAAUGGAAUAAUAACAGAUAAAUCAUGUUAAGUAUUGUUUCUUCUUUUAAUUAAUUUGGUUUUAAAAAAAAUUAGCAGAAUGGAAAUGAAUAUUUUUCUUUUUAUUGAAUUUUGAAAAUUACAAUGAGCAGUAAUACAUUAAUUAAUCCGACUGCUUUUAUUAUGUCUUUGGUCCUCCUCAUUAAGCCUUGAAUUUAGGGAAUUGAGCUGCAAAAAUGUAAGAAGAAUUAAAACACAUUUAAUUUGAUGUUAAAUAAAAGAUAUAUAUAAUAAAUUACCAACGAAAUCCUUCUUUGAGCAGUCUGCAUCACACUUCAUCUCACAAAAGGUAUAACCUUGUCCUUGUUUAGCUGUGCAUUCAUCGUGACAUGUGUGAUAGCAAUCCUGAUACUCUUCUUCUGUGGCUUCACACACAGCUGUAAAUACAACCAUGCACAUAAGAAACACUGCAACAAACUUUUGACCUUCCAUUUUUAUUUCUUUUAACAAUUACUAUUGCUUUACAGUGUUUCCUUGGACGAUUUUCUAAUGUUCAUGCCCUACCCUAUUUAUACAAUAAAAAUGUAUGUGGAUUUCCUUCUUCAUAGGACAUCUAUUUGUUUUGCUUAAAUUAAGGUAAGGCUUCUCAUAAAAACUCGCUCUUUCAUUAAUAUUCUUCACCACUCAAUUAGCUACCUAGUAUCAUAUGAUAUUAAUACAAAAAAAUACUUUGUCCACUAAUUUUAUUAGCAAAAUUCUGAUUAAGUAACAAAUUUAAAAAGAUUUUUCAAUUUAAUAUAGGAAUAAUUAAUCCCUAACACAUAAAAGGUUAGGUUAGUACUGUUUUGAAAGUACUAGUCAUAAAAGUUGUAGCCUAAACCCUCACCCUACAACUUAACUCUCUGAAACUAAAAGUAUAUAGAGUAGAUAAGAAACUCCAUUAACUAAUAAUUGAACUUGAUCUAUAGUCUAUAGAUAUAGACAGCACUCAAACAAUCAAGAUUUUGAAGGUUAUAAAUUUCGACUUUUUUCCAAAUUCAUAGUUGUUGAAUUUGCAUUUAAUAAAUUUUUACAUAAUACUGUAAUUUUGCCUUUUUGAGUCUUGGAAUCUCUGAGAAAACCAAAAACGGGUACUAUAUUUGAUCUUAAGAUAAAAGAAAUUUGUGAAAAAUAGAGCUUUGCCUUGAUUAAAAGAGGGCGGCCCACAAGUCAUUAUUGGUUACAGCUACUGACCAAUCGAGUUUGACUAAACCGUAGCCACCUUUAAUUUUGCUGUAACAAUUUAUGUACUUCUGUCCAUAUGCAUCCUUUAAAGACUUUAAUUUAAAAAUCCUAAUGUUUAAGAACAAUUCUUUUCCAAAUAAAUUUAAUUAGAGAGCAUUACUUAAAUUGAAACCAACUAUAUGUUAGUUAAAUCCUUGUUUAAGUUAAAAGAGUACAUGAUACAGAGAAGAAUAAGCUUUGACCUUUUCUAAUAUCUGACAGUUAACUACUUUUUGAGGCUACAGAGUGGUGUUAAUUUUGAACUAAUCUUCAACAAAUAAAAAAAUACAGAAAUAAUUUUUUUUUUAAAAAUAAAUUAAAUUAACAAGUAGUAAGUCCAUUCAACCGACAUAAGAAACGGAGUGGGAAUAUAAUUAAUAAAGUAGGAAGGAAAAAGUGAUAAAUGGAUUUGUUAUGAAGGUAGGCAAAGUUGUGUCACCCAUACAUAACUCCUCCAUCUGUCUUUAUAAACACUAAUAUUUCCAUCAUCAAUUCGUCAUUUAAGUUCGUUCCAAGAAAAUGAAGAUGUUUGCUUGUGCAAUUCUUAUGGCUAUGGCUUUUUUUCCAAUACAAGUUAUAAGUGGUCAGUCAGAUACUAAUUGUCAACAAGUGAUUGUUGGAUUAGCACCUUGUUUGGAUUAUAUACAAGGGAAUGCUACAAAACCAUCAUCAGGAUGUUGCACUCAACUAGCCACUAUAUUGAAAAAUGAGCCAAAAUGUUUGUGUCAAGUGGUUAAUGGUGGUGCUCCUUUAGGAAUCAAUGUCAAUCAAACACAGGCUAUGGCUCUUCCUAAAGCUUGUAAUGUUCAGACACCAUCCCUUACUCUCUGUAAAGGUCAGUUAGUUAAUGAACAUUAUUCAUGCCAUCAUGCAUGCCUACCUAUCCAAAGCCAUUUCUUACUAACACAUAAUUUUCUUUUUCUCUCUUGUCAGCUACUAUUCCAUCUGGUUCUUCAGGUACCAAUCCAAAUAAUAA